GCCUUCUUAGCUUAGUUGGUAGAGCACCCGCUUAGUAAGCGGGAGGUCGUCGUUCA
rnacentral:tRNA from 1 species